AAACAGGCUCCAAAAGCUUGUUACUUGCUUGUAGUCAAACAGAAGGCAGAGCUGCGAAUCAAAUCCAGGUUUGUCUCGACAUGCCACUAGCUCAUACUUCCCUUGGAUCAGCCACUAAAUGGCUUUCACUCCAGUGAGCAGCGACCAGCACCAGAAUUAUGGAACAUUUAUCAACAGCCUAAAAUAAAGACAACACGAGGAGAAUUUGGUUGCUUAUAUAGAUUCAAGGUACAAUCCUGCUGGAUUCUGGAAGAAAUAUCACAGUGUGCAUGCACAGAAGUACGACCAUGUGAAGAGGUAGCAAGAGAGCAGCAAUCUACAAGCCAAGGAAAGAGGCCACAGAGGAAACCAACCCUGCCAGCAUCUUGAUCUUGGACUUCCAGCUUCCAGAACUAACCAGGGACCCCACUCCCAUGCCGACAGUAUGGGCUGCUGUCUUCAGGACCAUUGCAAGGCUGCAGGAAGACUUAGAGGCAUCAUCCUGCCUUGGCUUCUGGUUGCCAAGGUGUUCUGCCUGAUACCAACUUUGUCAGCAGUCACCAACUAGCCAUGCUUUUCCCUUGAAGGCACAUGUAGAUUGCCUAACCAUCCACACCAGGCAAACAAUUCUUCAAAUGUCAUGCCCUUUGCACUUCUGUUCAGAUCCAGCCUUAGAGAAGCUUGUGAAGCAAUGACUGUUUUAAUUGGUCUCCUGGGUACCCAGGCCUAAUCCUUUACCAAGUCACUAGUUAUCCCAUGUUCCUUAUCUGUCUGUCUAUCCAUCUAUCCUUCCAUCCUCAUCCAAUACUUACAGAAUGCCUAUGGCUGCAAAUACAAGGAUGACUGCUUGGUUCCUGCUGUCCAUAAACUCACAGCCUGGGAUAAGUGUCCUUCACGGUUCGGUUCACAUUUCACAAGCCCCAUGAAGUCUAUCUGGAUUUUCGAUGGAUGUCUUGCCUUUUCCUCUACACACUACAGGAAGAGUGGCCACCCCUGCCAAGGGCCUAGUAUAGUACCCUAUACAUGUAGCUGAUCAGUUGAUUGUUACUGAUCAUAUGUAUCCUGCAUCAUGUUAUAAAAAAUUAACACAGUGCUUGGCAAAAAAAAAAAAAAAAAAAAAAAAAAAAAA
rnacentral:lncRNA from 1 species